rnacentral:tRNA from 1 species
GGUUAUGGCUCAGUGGUAGAGCGCUCACCUCACACGUGCAAAGGCCUGGGUUCGAUCCUCAGCACCA